GGAGGGUUAGCCAAGUGGUUAAGGCGGAAGUUUGCAAAACUUCUACGCACCGGUUCGACUCCGGUACCCUCCUC
rnacentral:tRNA from 1 species